rnacentral:lncRNA from 1 species
GCAGAAUCGGCUGUUCGGAUAAGCUUUGUAAGUGCCAUAGCUGAUGCUUCUUGCCCUUUUGUUCCCCCACUUUUUAGAAGCCAUAAAAAUGCAGGAAUGGCUCCUGCACUUUCAACACAUGCACGAAUAUCCUCACUGUGACAGCACAAAUUCCACAACACAUGAGCGGCAUCCUCCUUCGCCUUUUGAGACCCCGUUUCUAACAACUGCACUAGAGGAGGAAUCCCACCAGCAGCAGUAAUAGCC